rnacentral:rRNA from 1 species
GACGAACGCUGGCGGCGUGCUUAACACAUGCGAGUCGAACGGAAAGGCCCUGCUUGCCGGGUACUCGAGUGGCGAACGGGUGAGUAACACGUGGGUGAUCUGCCCUGCACUUCGGGAUAAGCCUGGGAAACUGGGUCUAAUACCGGAUAGGAGCCAUUUUUAGUGUGAUGGUUGGAAAGUUUUUUCGGUGUAGGAUGAGCUCGCGGCCUAUCAGCUUGUUGGUGGGGUAAUGGCCUACCAAGGCGGCGACGGGUAGCCGGCCUGAGAGGGUGGACGGCCACAUUGGGACUGAGAUACGGCCCAGACUCCGACGGGAGGCAGCAGUGGGGAAUAUUGCACAAUGGGCGCAAGCCUGAUGCAGCGACGCCGCGUGGGGGAUGACGGCCUUCGGGUUGUAAACUCCUUUCGCUAGGGACGAAGCUUUUUGUGACGGUACCUAGAUAAGAAGCACCGGCUAACUACGUG